rnacentral:misc_RNA from 1 species
AAACCACCUCCCAACAUUACAAACGGGGUGACGAAACCCUAAUCAGAUCGAGCGAAGAAUAGAACGCCGGAGAAAAUGUCGCACUUCGGGAGAACUGGCCCGCCGGACAUCGCUGAUACUUACUCUCUCCUCGUACUCAACAUCACUUUCCGUACCUCGGCGGAUGAUCUCUUUCCUCUUUUCGACAAGUAUGGGAAGGUUGUGGAUAUCUUCAUUCCCCGGGACAGAAGGACCGGUGAGUCACGUGGGUUUGCGUUUGUUCGUUACAAGUAUGCAGAGGAAGCACAAAAGGCUGUAGAUAGGCUUGAUGGAAGAGUGGUUGAUGGACGGGAAAUGGCUGUUCAAUUCGCCAAAUAUGGGCCAAAUGCAGAACGAAUUCACCAAGGGAGGAUCAUUGAGAAAGUUCCUGGCUUCAAGGGAAGCUCAAGAAGCAGAAGCCCUCGUAGAAGAUACCGUGAUGACUAUCAUAGAGAUAGAGAAUACAGGAGAAGUAGGAGCAGAAGUGUUGAUCGCUAUGAGCGUGAUAGGUAUCGGCAGAGAGAGCGGGACUAUCGCCAUCGGUCCAGGAGCCGCAGCUUAAGUCCAGACUAUGAUCG